UACGGUCGUGUGGCGGCACGGGUGCGUAACGCGUGGGAAUCUGCCCUUGGGUUCGGGAAUAACUCAGAGAAAUUUGAGCUAAUACCGGAUAAUGACGUAAGUCCAAAGAUUUAUCGCCCAGGGAUGAGCCCGCGUAGGAUUAGCUAGUUGGUGGGGUAAAAGCCUACCAAGGCGACGAUCCUUAGCUGGUCUGAGAGGAUGAUCAGCCACACUGGGACUGAGACACGGCCCAG
rnacentral:rRNA from 1 species